rnacentral:rRNA from 1 species
UACGGAGGAUCCAAGCGUUAUCCGGAUUUAUUGGGUUUAAAGGGUGCGUAGGUGGUUCAUUAAGUCAGGGGUGAAAGACGGCAGCUUAACUGUCGCAGUGCCUUUGAUACUGAUGAACUUGAAUGAACUAGAGGUAGGCGGAAUGUGACAAGUAGCGGUGAAAUGCAUAGAUAUGUCACAGAACACCAAUUGCGAAGGCAGCUUACUAUGGUUUGAUUGACACUGAGGCACGAAAGCGUGGGGAGCAAACAGG